GGACGUUUUCCUAAAGGAAAUGGGGAGCCGUGAGAGGACUUUAUACAGAGGAAUGCUAAUUUCAGCACCAGACCCCUAGUCAUCCAGAUUAGCCAGUCUGAUUCAUUCCAUCCUCUCCCCGGUUUCCUCAGAUACAGUGAGUUGCCACAUCUGCUUCUCCCACAUUUGCUGCAUUGCUCCCUCCUCCCAAGCGAACCAUUGUCUCCCACGUGAACUCAUUGCCUCCCACGUGGACUAUUGCAACGCUAUGGAUCCCUGCUCAACUUCAGUUCCACUAAUACUCGCACUGCUGCCAAGGUUACUUUCAUCUUGUAGCUCUGACAUUCUCAGGGCAUCAGAGUCCCCUAUUUCCAGCAACAGAGUGAGCAAAGAGAGAAGGUGGAGAAGGCACCCUUUUUUACUACCUUGGCCUGGAAGUGAUACAGAGCACUUCUGUUCACAUUCCAUUGGUAACAGAGAAUUAUUCUAAUCACGAGUUCUCCACAAUCUGUCUGCAGUGCUGUGCAUUUGUCAGACCUCACCCUGAUCCUAUGAAAUGUCAGUAAGCUGCCUGGAAGAAAGAACUCACAUGGUUGACAAAACCCUCUCAGAUGGGUCAGUUACACUGAAAGUAAAUAUAGCCCCAAACUCGUGUAUCCCGGAGACCCAGGCCAGCUCCCUGAGACUUUUCACCUUUAUUUCCGCAACUACAAAAUGGGCAUGACUGCAAAUCAUGCUCCUUCCUGCAAAGGGCUUUUAUAAAAUAUCAUGAGAAAAUAUUGACAAAACAUUGUGAAUUCGUGGUUAAAAUAUUCCUGGAACAUCUCAGUGGAUAUAGAAUUUGGG
rnacentral:lncRNA from 1 species